rnacentral:rRNA from 1 species
GAUGAACGCUGGCGGCGUGCCUAAUACAUGCAAGUCGAGCGAACGGACGAGAAGCUUGCUUCUCUGAUGUUAGCGGCGGACGGGUGAGUAACACGUGGAUAACCUACCUAUAAGACUGGGAUAACUUCGGGAAACCGGAGCUAAUACCGGAUAAUAUUUUGAACCGCAUGGUUCAAAAGUGAAAGACGGUCUUGCUGUCACUUAUAGAUGGAUCCGCGCUGCAUUAGCUAGUUGGUAAGGUAACGGCUUACCAAGGCAACGAUGCAUAGCCGACCUGAGAGGGUGAUCGGCCACACUGGAACUGAGACACGGUCCAGACUCCUACGGGAGGCAGCAGUAGGGAAUCUUCCGCAGUGGGCGAAGGCCUGACGGAGCAACGCCGCGUGAGUGAUGAAGGUCUGCGGAUCGUAAAACUCUGUUAUUAGGGAAGAACAUAUGGUAAGUAACUGUGCACAUCUUGACGGUACCUAAUCAGAAAGCCACGGCUAACUACGUG